rnacentral:lncRNA from 1 species
CACAGCCACUGACAUACUGGUUAACUCUGGUCAGUGAAUGGAAUCUUUUUUUUUUUUAAUAUUUUAUUUAUUUAUUUGACAGAUAGAGAUCACAAGUAGGCAGAGAGGCAGGCAGAGAAAGAGAGAGGAGGAAGCAGGCUCCCUGCUGAGCAGAGAGUCCAAAGCGGGGCUCCAUCCCAGGACCCUGGGAUCACGACCCAAGCCGAAGUACACCUGCCUAUUCUUCUUUGGGGUGAUGAGAUUUAUCUCCAAAUAUCUGGCUCAGAUAGGCCUGAAAUUCU